UCUGGCUGCUCCUCGAAGGUUCGAGGUACGAGGUACGUUAACACUGUCUUCUCCGCUUUGUUUUUCUAGCCUUUGUGGGUGUUCUGGGCCCAUGUGUGGCCCCCCAUUCUUAUGCUAAAGUCCUAACUCUCCAGUACUUCAGAGUGUGACUGUAUUUGGGGAUGGGAUGCUUGAAGGGGUAAUGGAGUGACAGUGUGAUCUUUAGGGUGUAAAUCAUCCGAUAGGACUUCCAUCCUCCUAAAAAGAGGGUAGGACACAGACACACGCAGAGAGAAGUCUAGGUGAACACAGGGACAAGAUGCCAUCGGCAAGCCCAGGAGACAGAUCUCAAAAGAAACCAGUCCUGCCCACAGCUUGACCUCAGACCUCUGACCUUCAAAACUGGGAGCAAAUGAAUUUUUGUUUGUUAAGCCUCUAGGUCUGUGGUAUUUUGUUAGGGCAGGCCUCGCAAUUCAUUACAGCUGGUAUGUAUUAAUCUCUGGGUUAACCUGCUGUCUCUACUUUGUUUGCUCAGCUCUUUUUAUGUGGCCAAUUUCUUAGGUUACAUUUCUUAUUUGAAAUACCUGGAAUGGUUUUGUCUAACUGACGGAAACACUUAUAAAUCUCCUAAGUGUAUGUAUCUUAGACCUAAAAGCCUUUGGGAAGACAGACAUUGAAAAAAAGAUGGGGAGGUUUUUGUCGUUGCUUUUGGUAAAAAGCAACGCUCCUUUUGUACCUAAAUUCAAGAGCUAUUUAAGAAAAACAAGAUGCUCCCCAUUGAAAAUUGGACAAUUGUAAUUAUAACGCUGAUUUAUUUAUUUAUUUUUGGCAAUGAACCCUAGUGGGUCUAAAAAUUUUCUUUUCUCGUCUUACAUUUAGAACCCAGCCAACUGUUUCCUCAGCGUGUGGCUUUUGCUCUGGCUGUCUAAGCUAGUUUGACUUCGCCCCUACACUGAUUUGGCAGGGCCCCACAAACACUGCUGGAGGGAGUAUGAUAAAGAGGCCUUAUCAUGGGUAAACCUUCAGUCUUGUUGAAUAUGCGAUAAAUUUUGCCACCGUUUUGCCCACGCACGGACUUGGAUAAUUCCUCCCAGUUCCCUUAGGACUUCUUUCUGGUAUUAUCUUCUCUCCAAAAGUGUCCUCCUGUCUCUUCCCCCCAAAGAAGGCUCCCCCCCAAAGAGUCUCAGGAUGGAGAUUCUGAGAUAGAGCUUUCCUGGGACAUGCAGGUGUGAGGCCUUCUGAUGGGGGACAGGAAGACGCGCAGCUCCAGAAGCACCAUCAACCAACCCUCGGGGCUCUGACGGCUCAGGAGAGAGCCAGCGUGGACCAGGGCAUAUGGGCUGCCCCUGCCCCGGACAGUGCAUGGCCUCAGACAUGACUCAGAGGUUGGCAUUCAGUACACGCUUUUGCUUAGCUGCCACUGCUUCCAGCAGGCCCCAGAGUCAAUAGGCCAUGCGCUCACCACCAGAGCCCGGUGAGAAAAAAGGUUGAAAGGCGACAUCAACAGGAAAUAAAACAUUUUUAUUGAAUAUCUGUGUAAUAUGUUAAGUCAUUUUUAACAACAAUCAGAAAACUACUGUGGAAUUCACUACACGAAGUGAAACAAAAUUUAAACCACCUCAUCAAAAAUGAAGGUAAAAUACAGCUAAAGUAGUUGGCUCGCAGGCCACGAGCCAUAUGGCAGAAGAAAACACCCCAACAUUUCUACAAGAUACAGAGAAAACCCACACAGAGAAACACUCAAGCAGGCAGUAAAUAUACACAAAGGCAACUAGGAUCUUUCUAGAGCAUCAGAUUCUAAUACUUGACACAGCUUUGUCAGAAAGGUACAUUGUGGCUUAUCGGAGGAUGAAAGUUGGUCUUAAAGCAGGCUCGGUCACUGACUCGUGGAAGAUGGCAUAGUACCAACUAACUCUAUGGUGACAGUAUCCCAUGUCUGGCAGUGUUGUGAGAGAAUGCAUUUGUCGUGCUUUAACGCGAGAAAUGAUGUGUAUUCAGCAGCUCGAACCUGGUGGUUUCAAAGUGUUUGUUUGAGCGUGAACACCUUAAAGCUAAAUACGGUGAACUUAAAAGUUGGAGUCUGGUAGUCAAAGGAUUUUCAAAAGUCAGUCCACUCUCUCUGGUAGGGUUGGGUCUUUGAAACGGGAAGGCUUCUCGCUUGAAUCUUCUUUUCAAACUGGUACUUGAUCGCACAUCAUUUGAAUGACUUGUGCAUUUUCUCUCAUCUACAACUGGGCCGAAAGGUGAAAGGGCUCCCCUCUGCUCCGGUGAGGAAAGAACAAGACAGGAACCCCGUUUUAUCAGGAAACAGCCAACCUUGUGUUGGAAGCGUCUCCCCAGCCCCUGCUGAAUUCUCCUGGCGGUGUUAAAAACCAUGGCAUGAGAGCCUCAGGUCUGAGCAUGAGGUUCAUGCCUCCUUUCCCUGCAUUUCGUUUCGGUGUGUUUGACGCUGACCCUUCACUCAGAGCAUCCCUGCUUUCUGGGGGCUGGGAGUGAAAAUGGGUCAUGGAGGUGAGUGGGACAAAGACCAGCUGCAGUGGGGGAGCAUCGGCUGCCGUCCAGCAAAGCGGUCGCCUACCAAGGUGGGGAGCAAAAGGGACCGUUGCACAGUGCUUGACAAGAUGCUGUGUGUUCCGCCGCAUGCGUUGCAUCGUUCUUGUCUUCUGCAUAGCUUUUCAGUUCGGAAUUGGUCCUUUGUAAUGAGAACUGUUUGUGCUACACACACCUUGGGCAGUGCAGUAGAAGGGAAUGGCAGUAUUGUUACAAUAUCACUACGGAAUAGAUUGAGUGCUGUCCACUGAGGAAACUACGUUACAUGUCUAAGCACACACACGGCGGUCACAGUGUUACACAGGGCAGUCCUUGAAGACUCUUGUGGAAGGACUAGUAGCUUCAUAAUAGUGCCAUUUACUACGUAAUAACAUUGAAAACACUUAAAAACGCCUCCUAAAUCAAGCAUCUAGUAUACAUAAGAGGUUGCUUCAGUUUUCUAGAACUUGUUCUUGUUUCACCUUUUUUUUUUUAAAGGACAAAUUAAAACUUAUUUACGUAAAAAGAGCAUAUAAAAAGAUCACUAGCUGUCUGUUUUGGCUUAAUUGAAGUGCAUUCAGAACUAUGGCUAAUUGUUUAUUUUUUCCUCUGUUGAUGGGAUUACAAUACUGUCUGUUUACCACAAAGUAAUUUUGUGUAAUAAGCACAGAUUGCUGUGUUAAAAAUAUUCUGCAUUCCUUCUAAUCUGGUUUUGUAUAAUAAAAUAUUUUGUUACAAAGUCGAACGUGCAAACCUUUUGGAAUUAUAGAUGUGAAAUCUGCAAUAGAAUUCACAGGCUGCACAUUUUGUAGAAAGGUGAUAACGGAGAGCUACUUUUUUUUUUUUUUUUUAAAGUAGUCAGGCAAUAUUUCGGAAAUGCUGACUUCUUUUCCACUCAGCUUCCUCCCACCCACCCCAUCCCCAAACAAAUGCACGUGCAUGCACGCGCACAUACACACACGGAACAGCAUCGCGUCACUGCUCUCUAGGCAGUAAUAUGAAAUCGUUGACUCCUGUCCAGCUGCUUCCUCAAAUGUAAAAGUGAAGCACUGGUUUUAGCUCUGUAGAUACACACAGACUGAUGCUAUUCUGGUUUGUGGCUAUGCUUCCAGGAGGUCAGGCUUGAUGCUGCUCAGAUCAUGCUCAUUUGCCUGAAGAAUUCUGUAAAAUUGGAUUCACCCACCAAAUAUGUGGUGUCAGUGUAUCUUGGUGCUCAAAUGAGUCAAUAGAAAGCUCAGGUUUAAGUUGUCCUUUAAGAUGUCAGUUUCAUUGUACUAGUGCCUUACAAGUUGAUAUUUUUGCUGGAAUGCAGACGAUACUAUAUUUACCAUAUAAUAUAUUAUCAGCUCUCCUAUAUCUCAGUCCAUUUACAUAGUUUAAAAUAGAACAUCUUAUUAAAAACAUCUAGAUAUACACAGAUUAGGAAACGCUUACAACAUACAAAUACACAAA